rnacentral:lncRNA from 1 species
GGUGGUGUGUCUGUCAGCUCUGGUGUUGCGGCAGGUCUGCUGCGUGACUUUGGAGGCGUCGUGGGGUACUAGAGGAUAGGUCUAUGGGUUAGUGGUGCAUGUUCCUUUUCGUUCCCCUCUCUUGGAUUCAGAUAUGUGUAGCGUUCCUUUGUCAUUCUCCUUGGUGGCUCGCCGCCUCUCCUCUGUCAACUCUGUGGGUCAGAGUUGAAAAUCUAAGGCGUUCUUUUUGGGUCUUAGAGUUUGUCUUAUUGGUUUGGUUCCAGCAACUGUGUAAGCAGAUGUGUGUUGAUGGUGCAGUUGUGUUCGGUUGGUGUGGUAGUGUGUGGUGAGCAGAUCAAGUCUAACAUCCUUGAGAAGAUUCAUGUAUUUGGUUGCCUCUUUCUCCCUGUUUUGGAGUUCUUCUCCUGGCCUUUGAAUAAGUGUCUCUUUCGGUUUGUCUUGUGCCUCAUUCGUUCCUCGGUGGCUUCGGUUAGUGAAGCAUUAUAAAGAGGUUGAGGCUUUUAGAUUUUCCGAUGAAGGUUCAGCUGAGAAAGGAGCUUAAGUUCAAGGUGAUCGCUUGUUUGCUUCCUGGAUGGUGUAUGGUGUUAGGCAUUGUGGUUCUGAUUGGUACUGUGAACUGAAGGUUCAUGUAGUGUUGCUUAGUUGUGAAGGCCAUGGCAUCACUUUCUCUCUUUCUUGUGCGGUUUUCGGCAAGAUAUCCGAUUGAUUAAUGCUCAAAAGUCUAAUCUUUUCUCAUCUUCACGGAAUGUUUACGGGUUUGGAUG